AUUGAACGCUGGCGGCAGGCUUAACACAUGCAAGUCGAGCGGGCGAGGUUGCUUCGGUCACUGAGCUAGCGGCGGACGGGUGAGUAAUGCUUAGGAAUCUGCCUAUUAGUGGGGGACAACAUUCCGAAAGGAAUGCUAAUACCGCAUACGCCCUACGGGGGAAAGCAGGGGAUCUUCGGACCUUGCGCUAAUAGAUGAGCCUAAGUCAGAUUAGCUAGUUGGUGGGGUAAAGGCCUACCAAGGCGACGAUCUGUAGCGGGUCUGAGAGGAUGAUCCGCCACACUGGGACUGAGACACGGCCCAGACUCCUACGGGAGGCAGCAGUGGGGAAUAUUGGACAAUGGGCGCAAGCCUGAUCCAGCCAUGCCGCGGGUGUGAAGAAGGCCUUUUGGUUGUAAAGCACUUUAAGCGAGGAGGAGGCUACCUGGAUUAAUACUCUGGGAUAGUGGACGUUACUCGCAGAAUAAGCACCGGCUAACUCUGUG
rnacentral:rRNA from 1 species